AAGGUUGCCGCCGGCCAUGAUUCUGUCUGGAUCGGCUUGACAAGCACAUGAAAGGUGCGGUUGGAUUCCUAUGUCCCUGCUUCCUGGCGUUGACUCCACGUUUGCCUACAUGCAGCUAAGAAAAAUCAAUCUACACGAAGUAUACGUGAACAGGGAAAUAAUCUUUCUAUUAUUUUUCUUCUUCCUAUAAUAUAUCUGAUUUUAAGUGCUCCUUCAUGUGAUUGGCUAAUCAAACUCCCAAGAAGAGAAGAGAUCUUGGAUGUUCAACCAUCCCAUGUUCAAUUGGAGCACUGAUAUUCGAAAGGGCAUUAUGUGAUCUUGGCGCAAGUGUAGCGUCAUGCCUAAAGCUAUGUUCGAGAAGCUACGCCUGCUGGAGUCGGAAACAACUGCUAUGUGCCUGAAGUUGGCAGACAACAUCAUUCGCUGUUCUGAAGGUAUUGCUGAAGAUGUACCUGUGAAGAUCGGGAAUCAAUUUAUCCCCGUUGACUUUGUGAUACUCGAGAUGGGAUAAGGAGCUAAAUCCCCACUCAUCCUGGGAAGGCCGUUCCUAAAGACCGCAAGAGCAAACAUAGAUGCUGGGAAGGGUGAGAUCAAGUUUGACAUUAAUGGCACUAUGAGCGCGUUCAAAUUUCGACCAUGCUUUGAGGUAUGCAACAUGAUUUCUAGCAAGUAUAUACCGUCACAUCGUCAUGUCAAGCAGGAGGAGAAGAACAAGAAGGCAGAAGAAAAGAAGCUAGCAAAAAAAGUUGCUAUCGUCCAUAAGAAGGAAGAACGCCAACCUGUGAAGACCAAAAAGAUAGCCAAGCCUGUGCCUACAUCAAAGCCAAAGAUGGUGAAGAAGUGGGUGCCGAAGACUGCAGCGCCAACACCGAGCACUGGUCUUAAGUGAAGAAUUGAAGAGUCUAGCUACAGACUAUAAACGAAGCGCUUUGCGGGAGGCAACCCGAUCAUUGAGUCAAGAAUAAGCUACUGGGAGGACAACCCUGAAGUCAUUUGAAGUGUCAAGUAAGUGAGUCGUAGAUUUUGCUACGUCAUACCUGGUGAACAUUUGAUAAGUUGAACCUUCGGUC
rnacentral:lncRNA from 1 species